AUACGUAGGGGACGAGCGUUGUCCGGAAUUACUGGGCGUAAAGGGCGCGCAGGCGGAUAUUUAAGUCAGCUGUAAAAGGCAUGAGCUCAACUCAUGUAUGCGGUUGAAACUGGGUAUCUAGAGUGCUGGAGAGGUAGGCGGAAUUCCCGGCGACGCGGUGAAAUGCGUAGAUAUCGGGAAGAACACCAGUGGCGAAGGCGGCUUACUGGCCAGCAACUGACGCUGAGGCGCGAAAGCCAGGGGAGCGAACGGGAUUAGAUACCCCGGUAGUCCUGGCCGUAAACGAUGAAUGCUAGGUGUGGGUGUCGAGAGGCAUCCGUGCCGGAGUUAACGCGAUAAGCAUUCCGCCUGGGGAGUACGAUCGCAAGAUUGAAACUCAAAUGAAUUGACGGGG
rnacentral:rRNA from 1 species